GUGACCGAGGGGCGAGGCGUGACCGAGGGGCUCGCCGCGGCUCCUGCGCCUGCGCGGCGGGGAACGGCGACCGGCUGAGGGGACUAGGGGAGCGCGGUGCUUCGGUGGCGGAGGUCACGGUGGCCUCCAUCCUAAAGGGCUGCGGGCGUCCCGGACGGCGGUCCCAAGCGCUGCUCACGCUGCUCUUAAGUGAGCCCUGGACGAGGCGCGGUGGGCCCUCAUAGUCCGCGCCGGCGCCCUCGCUCCACACCGCGGCGUCCGGCCCUGGGCUCCCGCCGAUGUCCGCGUGGGACUUUUAGGGGAUUUGUUUAUUUUUGUACGUUAACCACACUAGAAACGGCCCCAGAAUGGGCUGAAACGUGUGCUGCUGAAGCUGCCACCUAAACUCCCGAGAGAAGCGCCGUUUCUCCUCCAUGGCUUCUCGCCGACGCCCUCGCUGCGGCCUUCCGGGCCCCUCGGUUGAUAAAAGGACUAAAUAGUGACGGACAUUUUUAAGGCUACUUAAGAAAUGGCAAAAAUACAUUUAGAGGUGUGAACCCGAACACACUGCGCGCUUUAAGCCCCGCGAGAGCCGGGGCCGCCCGCUUCUGUGCGCCCGUAGCUCCUUUCUCGGGUCCGGGAUUCGCCGGUGCCGGGGACAGAAACCUCCUGCCUUCUUAGUUCAUGACCCUUGUAGAUGAACUUCCCUGUUUUCUGCACUGCUUAGACCAGAAGACGGGAAACCGUGACUGCCGCACCCUUCCCUGAAGCAGGCACUGCCCGUCGUCCAUCAAACGCGAGGACUGCGCCCACCUCGUAGGAAGGACGCCGCGGUCCUGCUAAAAGCCUCCGCCUCUGCCUGCCCGAGGGCACCCUUCCCCUCCCCGCUUCCGAGGGCGGACUCCAUUCCUCUGGAGCCGGUGUUUCCGGGUGGGCCAGCCUCCAACUGCCUUUGAAUAACCCCCCCUUACAUUAGAUUCUGACCCUGUGGUGAUUUUAGGUUGGGAUUUGGGCGCCUGCAGAUGGCUCCGAAGCCAGCCUCUUGUGAUCCGAGCCACUUCUCUGGCACUCGGAGCGCUGGCACCCGCGGAGCGGCCUUGGUUCACCGGACCGCCUGGGAACCUGGCCGGGGUCUCUGGCAGCCUCCCAGGGCUGAGGUUCAGACUCUGUUCCGCCUACCCAGGUCCACACCUGAUAGGGCUGGAGUUGAGGCUUGGUUUUAAGGCAAGAGUUUCGUUUGUUAUUUCUCCAAAGAGUCAGCUGUUUGCAGGUGUGUGGUUAACACUAUCCUUCGAGGUUAAGGUUUUGUUCGUCUUGCUAAAGUUUGCAACCUUUUUUGUCCUUCAGAUUUGGAGAAGGGGAAAGCAGUUUCUCUUUGAAAAGAAGCAGCGAAUCGUGGCUUAAGCAAAAUUUGUAAUCCUUAAAACUGGCCAGGCUCUGGAGCUGAGUUCAAUUUGACAUGUCUAAACUUUCUUCUUGAGUAACCAGAUUUUCCCUUACAGUCUUUUGUCACUUAAGAGAACUCAUAGGCAAUCGUCCAUCCAAAACAAGUCUUUCUCCUUCAGGGAGGACCCAUCUUUGGAAACUCCAGCUGGUUUCCUGUGCAGUGCUUAUGGUGCCACCUCUCGUUAUAUUUAGAAAAAUGGUCUCACGUAACUUGAGAAAAAACAUUUCAGUGACCAAAGCCGGGUACCAUUGGAACACCAAGGUAAUUUACUUGUUUGCUCAAUUGGAAAACGCUGGCUCUAGGAUAAAACGGAAUCUUUGGGAGAGUUAUUUUUUAUGGUAGUUGGAAGCAUCCAAAAGAAGUUCUAAUAAAGGUAUUUAUGAGAGAAAAACAAAAA
ensembl:lncRNA novel transcript, antisense to ITGB2